GAUGAACGCUGGCGGCGUGCUUAACACAUGCAAGUCGAACGGAAAGGCCAGUGCUUGCACUGGUGCUCGAGUGGCGAACGGGUGAGUAACACGUGGGUGAUCUGCCCUGCACUUUGGGAUAAGCCUGGGAAACUGGGUCUAAUACCAGAUAGGACCAUGCUUUGGCUGGUGUGGUGGAAAGUUUUUUCGGUGUGGGAUGAGCUUGCGGCCUAUCAGCUUGUUGGUGGGGUAAUGGCCUACCAAGGCGUCGACGGGUAGCCGGCCUGAGAGGGUGUACGGCCACAUUGGGACUGAGAUACGGCCCAGACUCCUACGGGAGGCAGCAGGGGGGAAUAUUGCACAAUGGGCGCAAGCCUGAUGCAGCGACGCCGCGUGGGGGAUGACGGCCUUCGGGUUGUAAACUCCUUUCGCAACUGACGAAGCUUUUUGUGACGGUAGGUUGAGAAGAAGCACCGGCUAACUACGUG
rnacentral:rRNA from 1 species